rnacentral:tRNA from 1 species
GACAGUUUAGUUAAAUCAUAACAUUGGCUUGUCAAGCCAAAAUUAUCCGAUAAGAUAACUCUCA